rnacentral:rRNA from 1 species
UACGUAGGCAGCAAGCGUUGUUCGGAGUUACUGGGCGUAAAGGGUGCGUAGGCGGUCCUAUAAGUAUGGUGUGAAAUCUCCCGGCUUAACUGGGAGGGUGCGCUAUAGACUGUGGGACUAGAGUGUGGGAGAGGAAAGUGGAAUUCCUGGUGUAGCGGUGAAAUGCGCAGAUAUCAGGAGGAACACCGGUGGCAAAGGCGGCUUCCUGGACCGACACUGACGCUGAGGCGCGAAAGCUAGGGGAGCAAACGGG